UACGUAGGGUGCGAGCGUUGUCCGGAAUUACUGGGCGUAAAGAGCUCGUAGGUGGUUUGUCGCGUUGUUCGUGAAAACCGGAGGCUUAACCUUCGGCGUGCGGGCGAUACGGGCAGACUGGAGUACUGCAGGGGAGACUGGAAUUCCUGGUGUAGCGGUGGAAUGCGCAGAUAUCAGGAGGAACACCGGUGGCGAAGGCGGGUCUCUGGGCAGUAACUGACGCUGAGGAGCGAAAGCGUGGGGAGCGAACAGG
rnacentral:rRNA from 1 species